GCGCCGAUGGCGGAAUUGGUAGACGCGCUAGGUUGAGGGCCUAGUGGGAGAUAAUCCCGUGGAGGUUCGAGUCCUCUUCGGCGCA
rnacentral:tRNA from 1 species